GACGAACGCUGGCGGCGUGCUUAACACAUGCAAGUCGAACGGAAAGGCCCUGCUUUUGUGGGGUGCUCGAGUGGCGAACGGGUGAGUAACACGUGAGUAACAUGCCCUUGACUUUGGGAUAACUUCAGGAAACUGGGGCUAAUACCGGAUAGGAGCUCCUGCUGCAUGGUGGGGGUUGGAAAGUUUCGGCGGUUGGGGCUGGACUCGCGGCUUAUCCGCUUGUUGGUGGGGUAGUUGCUUACCAAGGCUUUGACGGGUAGCCGGCCUGGGAGGUGGGACGGCCUCAUGGGGCCUGCGAGACGGCGCAGACUCCUACGGGAGGCAGUAGGCGAGAAUAUGGCAGAACGGGGCGAAGUCAGUGGUAGCAACGUCGCGAGCGUGAUGCCCGGCUUCGGGGGGUAAACCGAUUUCUCCUGUGACGAAGCGUUAUUGACGGUAAUGGGUAAAGAAGCACCGGCUAACUACGUG
rnacentral:rRNA from 1 species